GACGUAGGAUGCAAGCGUUGUCCGGAAUUAUUGGGCGUAAAGAGUUCGUAGGCGGUGACCUAAGUCUGAUGUUAAAGACGGGAGCUUAACUCCCGCAUGGCAUUGGAAACUGGGCCACUAGAGUGUGGUAGAGGUCUCGGGAAUUCCAGGUGUAGCGGUGAAAUGCGUAGAUAUCUGGAGGAACACCAGUGGCGAAAGCGCGAGACUGGGCCAUAACUGACGCUGAGGUGCGAAAGCCAGGGGAGCAAACGGG
rnacentral:rRNA from 1 species